UCGAACAUGUCCUCUGAAAGCUGUAGAUAUUCACCCGAUACCUCACUAGGCAGAAUGACAUAGGAAUAAAAAUGAUGUGGAAUGCUGGUCGUAUAAUUUGUGUCCUGGGUUGGCUACGUGUCGCCGUUUGCGUUGUAAAGAUUGACAAAGUUCACUUUAUUCGGGACAAUUCUGUAAGCGAUAUUCAGAUACCAGGCAGCCGAUUGGAUGUAAUAGAAAAUCCGCAUUACAAACGGAACUGCCUUGUGGAAUGCGCGCAACGCGAAGCAUGUGUCAGUGUCGGGGAAACGACAAACGGCAAAUGUGACCUGUACACGCACGACUUGACGAAUUUCGCGUACAAUAUAGUACUUCAGCCGGGAACAAGAAUCUACAAAACGGUGUGUCCCGAAACCGACUACACGUAUAUCCGGUACAUCGGCGUUUGCAUCAAGCGCUUCACAUACAACUAUGAACGCAAGCGACGCUAGCACAACGUGUCAGAAGGACGGCGCCAGUCUGUUGAAGGUCAACAACUAUAAAAAGAUGAGCUAUCUACGGUCAACACUGACACAUCUUUAUGCUGAUGAUCGACUGUUCGUACUGAAUGGUCUCUACGAGAAUGCAACCGGUUGGAGAUGGAAUGGACAAUCGGCUGUUCCAAUAGUCAACACCACCGGCUCCUUCUACUGGGGUCCAGGCGAACCGAACUUGGCCUCCGGCAAAUGCGUGGGUGUGACGUCACUGGGCGGUUAUUUGAAGGCAUUUGACUGCAUGCAGACCGCUCCAUUUGUCUGCGAGAUGGACCAGAAGUAGACGGAUCUCGUAGGAAAAGGAUAUGAUUCUAUUGUGUCUGAUUAAGUGUGCGUUGUUGGGAUUUUUUUUUUAAAUAUAAAUGUUUCGUAGUGAGUCUUAUAAACUUGCUUGUAGUGAACAAUUUUUCUUUUAUCUUGAACGAUCUGAGAAAAUUAAUUUAGGUAUGUACUGGUAUGUAAAAAAUAUAUAAAUUGAAGGUAAGCGGUAUUCACUGUACAUUAUUAUAAUUUACUGCAUAAUGUUAGAGAAUGGGCACGCUUUAAUGUAUUGAUUCGAUAUAGUACUUUAUAGAUAAAGAAGAUAACAUAUAAAUGUUAGUAUAAAUAUGAUCAAUACAAACAUUUCGAAAUGGAUAUCGGGUUGACGAAGAACAAAAUAGACUGCAAGGUUUGUUACUUUACAAUCAACACGUUUAUACAGUUACACAUAUAAUUCGCUUGUACAUUUAAAGACCAAUUCAUUAACAUCAUGUGCCGACUUUUAGAAAAUUCCAAUUGUUUUGUACAUACUUUUUAUACGACAGAGACACACAUUUUUGGUUCUGUGACAAAUGCGUAUAAAAAGGUAUCGGCAUCGGCUUAAGCAUGCGUGAAGUGUCAUCCCAGAUUAGCCUGUGCAGUUCGCACAGGCUAAU